AGGGAGAGUAACGCGUGGAUACCUGCCCUUGGCUCCGGGAUAGCGUCGGGAAACUGGCGGUAAUACCGGAUAAUAUCCCCGGAUCAAAGGUGUGAUUCCGGCCGAGGAUGGGUCCGCGUCCUAUUAGGUUGUUGGUGAGGUAAUGGCUCACCAAGCCAAAGAUGGGUACCGGGUGUGAGAGCAUGGCCCGGCUCACUGGGACUGAGACACUGCCCAGACACCUACGGGUGGCUGCAGUCGAGAAUCUUCCGCAAUGGGCGCAAGCCUGACGGAGCGACGCCGCGUGCGGGAUGAAGGCCUUCGGGUUGUAAACCGCUGUCAGUAGGGAGCAAAUGCAUCAGGGCAAUCUCUGGUGUUUGAGCGAUCUGCAGAGGAAGUCCGGGCUAAGUACGUGCCAGCAGCCGCGGUAACACGUACCGGACGAACGUUAUUCGGAAUCACUGGGCUUAAAGAGUCCGUAGGCGGCUCGGUAGGUGAGGUGUGAAAUCCCACGGCUCAACCGUGGAACUGCGCUUCAAACCACCGGGCUUGAGGGAGAUAGAGGUGAGCGGAACUGAU
rnacentral:rRNA from 1 species